UUAGAAAACCGGAUAAAAUUUUGCAGGAAAUAAAAAAUAGAUAUUCAAAACAAACAAAUUUCUUAGAUUCCAGUAAAAUUUUCAAAUUUUGUUCUUUUGUACUAAAUUAUAAGAAAGAUAAUAUUUUCGAUGCCACAUCAAAAAAUUAAUCUGCUGAAGGCUCCGCCGUUCUGAAAGAGACGAUAAUUCAAAAGCGCCAAAGUUAUAUAUUGCAAAUGUUUUGAAAUAUGGUAUAAUAUUUCUAUACAUAAUAUCUAUGUAAAUUCAUAUAUUUUUAGAAUUGUCAACAGAAAAUAGGUAAUGCAGUUAAAAUCGAACAUCAGUGUUAAUGCAAUGAUGUCCUUCAUUCUUUGUUUUCGUACAAUUUACUGGCGAACUACAAUUUGGAGGGACGUAGGUGGAAAUUGGCUCCUUCGAAAAGGAAAGCAAGAAAAAACGUUAACUUCGGUUGCACCGAAGCUAAAAUAUGCUUCACAAAUACAAAGGGUCCUAUGUGACCCGUUCUGAACACUUUUUUCGGAGAAUACAUGGUUGGUUUUGACAAUAACUCGUACCUAAUUUCGUGAAGAUGCCUUGUCAAAUAAAAAAGUUUAUGCUAUAGUCA